rnacentral:misc_RNA from 1 species
AACGCACAUUGCGCCCGCCAGCAUUCUGGCGGGCAUGCCUGUUCGAGCGUCAUUUCAACCCUCGAGCUCCCUUUGGGGAGCCCGGCGUUGGGGACCGGCAGCUACCGCCGACCCCGAAAUACAGUGGCGGCCCGUCACGGCGACCUCUGCGUAGUAAUCCAACCUCGCACCGGGAACCCGACGCGGCCACGCCGUAAAACACCCCAAUUCUGAACGUUGACCUCGGAUCAGGUAGGAAUACCCGCUGAACUUAA